rnacentral:rRNA from 1 species
GUGGGGAAUAUUGGACAAUGGGCGAAAGCCUGAUCCAGCCAUGCCGCGUGUGUGAAGAAGGUCUUCGGAUUGUAAAGCACUUUAAGUUGGGAGGAAGGGCAGUAAGUUAAUACCUUGCUGUUUUGACGUUACCGACAGAAUAAGCACCGGCUAACUUCGUGCCAGCAGCCGCGGUAAUACGAAGGGUGCAAGCGUUAAUCGGAAUUACUGGGCGUAAAGCGCGCGUAGGUGGUUUUGUAAGUUGGAGGUGAAAUCCCCGGGCUCAACCUGGGAACUGCCUCCAAAACUGCAUGACUAGAGUACGGUAGAGGGUAGUGGAAUUUCCUGUGUAGCGGUGAAAUGCGUAGAUAUAGGAAGGAACACCAGUGGCGAAGGCGACUACCUGGACUGAUACUGACACUGAGGUACGAAAGCGUGGGGAGCAAACAGGAUUAGAAACCCUGGUAGUCC